UACGUAGGGUGCGAGCGUUGUCCGGAAUUAUUGGGCGUAAAGGGCUCGUAGGCGGUUUGUCGCGUCGGGAGUGAAAACACCGGGCUUAACUCGGUGCUUGCUUUCGAUACGGGCAGACUAGAGGUAUGCAGGGGAGAACGGAAUUCCUGGUGUAGCGGUGAAAUGCGCAGAUAUCAGGAGGAACAUCGGUGGCGAAGGCGGUUCUCUGGGCAUGACCUGACGCUGAGGAGCGAAAGUGUGGGGAGCGAACAGG
rnacentral:rRNA from 1 species